GUGUCCUCUGGGAUGAGGCUGAUGAAGCAGGAUUGGCUCUGCAGACCUACUCCAGCCCAUAGAAAGCACCCAUGGGGGUGCCCAGAUUCCUGGGAUGAGAACUUCAUGGGUGUUAGCUACAUGUACAGAUCACAGGACCUAACUCAGAUGCUCUGAUUGAGAAUCACCGAGAGAGAGAGAGAGAGAGAGCGCUCAGUAUCUGCAUGCCAACCUAACAAAGCC
rnacentral:lncRNA from 1 species